rnacentral:rRNA from 1 species
GACGAACGCUGGCGGCGUGCCUAAUACAUGCAAGUUGAGCGCUGAAGUUUGGUUCUUGUACCAACUGGAUGAGCAGCUUACGAGUGAGUAACGCGUGGGUGAGCUACCUGUGAGCGGGGUACAACAUAUGGAAACGAAUGCUAAUGCCAUAUAAGAUAUUUAAACAUAAGCUUACAGUUUCAAAGAUGCCAGUGGAUCACUCUACGAUGAUACAGAGUUGUAUUGGGUAGUUGGUGAGGUAAAGGCUGACCAAGGCGAUGAUACAUAGCCGACCUGAGAGGGUGAGCGGCCAAAUUGGGACUGAGACACGGCCGAACCCACUACGACGGGCAGCAGUAGGGAAUCUUCGGCAAUGGAAGAAAGUCUGAACGAGCAACGCCGCGGGAGUGCCGGAGGUUGUCGGAUCGUGAAACUCUGUUGGUAGAGCAGAACGUUGGUGAGAGUGAGAAGCUCAUCAAGUGACGGUAACUAACCAGAAAGGCACGGCUAACUACGUG